rnacentral:rRNA from 1 species
UACAGAGGUCCCAAGCGUUGUUCGGAUUCAUUGGGCGUAAAGGGUGUGUAGGUGGCGCCGUAAUUCGGGUGUGAAAUUUCGGAGCUUAACUCCGAAACUGCAUUCGAUACUGCGGUGCUUGAGGACUGGAGAGGAGACUGGAAUUCAUGGUGUAGCAGUGAAAUGCGUAGAGAUCAUGAGGAAGACCAGUGGCGAAGGCGGGUCUCUGGACAGUUCCUGACACUGAGACACGAAGGCCAGGGGAGCAAACGGG